rnacentral:rRNA from 1 species
AUUCCAGCUCCAAUAGCGUAUAUUAAUGUUGUUGCAGUUAAAAAGCUCGUAGUUGGAUUUCUGGUCGGAACGCCGGUCCGGCUCCGCAAGGGGUCGUGUAUUGGUUACUCCUGCCAUCCUCAGGUGGAGCUGCGCUGGUAUUCAUUUAUCGGCGUGGUUACGCCUGUCGUUUACUGUGAACAAAUUAGAGUGUUCAAAGCAAGGUGUACUUGAAUACAUUAGCAUGGAAUAAUAAGAUAGGACUUUGGUGGUUCUUUUUGAUAUUUUGUUGGUUUGCACGCCAAAGUAAUGAUUAAUAGGAGCAGUUGGGGGUAUUCGUAUUCAAUUGUCAGAGGUGAAAUUCUUGGAUUUAUAGAAGACGAACUACUGCGAAAGCAUUUACCAAGGAUGUUUUCAUUG